rnacentral:misc_RNA from 1 species
AAGUCGUAACAAGGUCUCCGUAGGUGAACCUGCGGAGGGAUCAUUAACACUUCUACUGAGAGAAGCAGACUGAAAAGUCAACUUCGCUCUAUCCACUCGUGAACUUAACUUAUGCCCCCGGUCAUUAUUAUAAUUUUAUUAUAAUAGUGGCUAACAAUUUUUAUUGUUAUUAAACCUUUUUCCAACCGCUAACAGCUAUAUACAAUUCAUAGUUUACUAACGUUUACUAUGUAUUAUUAGUUAAAAACUAAAAGCACAACUCUUAGCAACGGAUAUCUCGGUUCUC